UAAUUUUUAAUUUAAAAAAAAUAUUUCAUUUACAUUGAAAUUUUAAUAAAUAAAUAAUUUAUUAAAAUUAA
rnacentral:tRNA from 1 species